UUGUUACUCCCUCUGAUCCAUAUUAAUUGUCGAAAUAUUACAUGUAUCUAAACGCUUUUUAGCCAUGGAUACAUCCAUAUUUGGGCAAAUUUGAGACAAUUAAUAUGGACCGGAGGAAGUAUUUA
rnacentral:pre_miRNA from 1 species